GGAGUUGUGGCUCAGAGGCAGAGUGCUCGUCUAGCAUGUGUGAGGCCCUGGGUUGGAUCCUCAGCACCA
rnacentral:tRNA from 1 species